rnacentral:piRNA from 1 species
UAGAACAUGCCUGAAUAGAUCUAGUU